GUGGGCAAUCUGCCCUUCACUCUGGGACAAGCCCUGGAAACGGGGUCUAAUACCGGAUAACACCCCCUCUCGCAUGGGAGGGGGUUGAAAGCUCCGGCGGUGAAGGAUGAGCCCGCGGCCUAUCAGCUAGUUGGUGAGGUAGAAGCUCACCAAGGCGACGACGGGUAGCCGGCCUGAGAGGGCGACCGGCCACACUGGGACUGAGACACGGCCCAGACUCCUACGGGAGGCAGCAGUGGGGAAUAUUGCACAAUGGGCGAAAGCCUGAUGCAGCGACGCCGCGUGAGGGAUGACGGCCUUCGGGUUGUAAACCUCUUUCAGCAGGGAAGAAGCGAAAGUGACGGUACCUGCAGAAGAAGCGCCGGCUAACUACGUGCCAGCAGCCGCGGUAAUACGUAGGGCGCAAGCGUUGUCCGGAAUUAUUGGGCGUAAAGAGCUCGUAGGCGGCUUGUCGCGUCGGUUGUGAAAGCCCGGGGCUUAACCCCGGGUCUGCAGUCGAUACGGGCAGGCUAGAGUUCGGUAGGGGAGAUCGGAAUUCCUGGUGUAGCGGUGAAAUGCGCAGAUAUCAGGAGGAACACCGGUGGCGA
rnacentral:rRNA from 1 species